GCCUGGAUAGCUCAAUUGGUUAGAGCUAUAGUACCAAGGUUGCAGGUCCGAUCCCUGUAUGGGGCA